AUGGAUAAAAAGAUCAAAGUGCGCACAGAGUCGAAGGAAGGUCUGCUUCGUAGUAUCAGUUGUUCUUGCUGCAAAUUGGAAUGCGCAGGCACACCAUGUUCCCACAUAUUUUACAUAUUGGGAAUUUUACAAGAAGAAACAUUGCCCAGAUGUUGUGUUCCCACUAGGUGGACAAUGAGUGCAAAAUGUGCAUUCGCACUGACCAGAAAGAGCGAGAUGUAUGCAUACUCUGCAGCCCUACAAAGGUACCGUAAGCUAAGGAAUUUUAGUCACACAUCAUGUUUCAAGGCAUGCCACUCUGAUCAGGCGUUUCAGCAUCUAAAAAGGGUUUUGGAAGGACAAGAUGUUUGCAAGGGAUCAACAAGUGAACAAGCUGAUAGCAAGGGAUCAACUAAUGCUCAGGGUAACAGCAUUAGGUUUGGCCCGUUGAUGCCACAAUUGGCUAACCUGGAUGGCGAAGGUUUUGAAAAGGUUCUGGAUCACGUGCGUGUGCCAGGCCGAGGUUCUCCGAAGAAAAGGCUACAGGCAAAGAUGAAGAAAACAAGAACAAAGGGUAGAUGCAGCUAUUGUCAUGAGGCAGAUGGUCACAAUCGACGAUCUCAAAGCAGAACUAUGAUAGCUACAACAUUGUGCGCACGGUCGGACAGCAAGUACGUCGACGAUCAACCUGAUGUUGGCGUGUGCAUUGUUGUCUAUGUCUAG
rnacentral:rRNA from 1 species